rnacentral:tRNA from 1 species
GGGAUUGUAGUAUAGUGGUCAGUACUUCUCGUUGUGGUUCUUUGUACACAGCGAUCCGAGAGGACCCAGGUUCGAUUCCUGGCAAUCCCA